rnacentral:lncRNA from 1 species
AAAUUCUCUCAAAUAGACAUUUUUAAGUUUUUGUCACCAAAAUAGACCUCAAAAACUAAAAUGACAAAAAUAGUAUUACUUUUUUUUGAAAAUUUUAAAUUUUUUUAUUUUUUUUAAAUUUGAAAUCAUAUCCCCUAAACUCCACUCCUCAACUCUAAAUCUCAAACCCGAAAUCCUAAACCUCACCCCUUAACUCUAAACCCUAAUGUCUAGAUUAAUUAACUUUAGGAGUAUAAGUGUAUUUUUUUUUGAUAAAACAUUUAAGUCUAUUUUGGUUAUUUUUAUUUUAAAAUUUUAUAUUUGUGACAGAAACUUUUUUAGGUAUAUCCUAGGAAAUUUCUCUUAGUUUUAGGCUCAACUUUUAUAAUUGUAUUAACAGUAAUUAAAAUUCUAAUGGAACAAAAAAUUUAGACAAAAUCUUAAUGGG